GACGAACGCUGGCGGCGUGCCUAAUACAUGCAAGUCGAACGCAGUGGGGACGGGUGAGUAACACGUGGGUAACCUCCCAUCAGAGGGGAUAACACUUGGAAACAGGUGCUAAACCGAUACUGAUGGAUGAACCCGCGGUGCAUUAGCUAGUUGGUGAGGUAACGGCUCACAAAGGCCACGAUGCAUAGCGGCCUUGGGGGGGUGUUCGGCCACCCUGGGACGGAGACCCGGCCCAGACUCCUCCGGGAGGCGGCAGUAGGGAAUCUUCGGCAAUGAACGAAAGUCUAACCGAGCAAGGCCGCGUAGGUGAGGAAGGUUUUCGGUUCGUAAAACUUUUUUGUUAGAAAGCGGUAUCUAACCAGAAAGCCACGGCUAACUACGUGCCAGCAGCCGCGGUAAUAC
rnacentral:rRNA from 1 species